rnacentral:rRNA from 1 species
AACGGCGAGUGAAGCGGCAACAGCUCAAAUUUGAAAUCUGGCCCCCAGGGCCCGAGUUGUAAUUUGCAGAGGAUGCUUUUGGCGCGGUGCCUUCCGAGUUCCCUGGAACGGGACGCCAUAGAGGGUGAGAGCCCCGUCUGGUCGGACGCCUAGCCUGUGUAAAGCUCCUUCGACGAGUCGAGUAGUUUGGGAAUGCUGCUCUAAAUGGGAGGUAUAUGUCUUCUAAAGCUAAAUACCGGCCAGAGACCGAUAGCGCACAAGUAGAGUGAUCGAAAGAUGAAAAGCACUUUGAAAAGAGGGUUAAAUAGUACGUGAAAUUGUUGAAAGGGAAGCGCUUGUGACCAGACUUGGGCCCGGUGGAUCAUCCAGCGUUCUCGCUGGUGCACUCCGCCGGGUUCAGGCCAGCAUCAGUUCGCCGCGGGGGAAAAAGGCUUCGGGAACGUGGCUCCUACGGGAGUGUUAUAGCCCGUUGCAUAAUACCCUGGGGCGGACUGAGGUUCGCGCUCCGCAAGGAUGCUGGCGUAAUGGUCAUCAGCGACCCGUCUUGAAACACGGACCAAGGAGUCGUCUUCGUAUGCGAGUGUUCGGGUGUAAAACCCCUACGCGUAAUGAAAGUGAACGCAGGUGAGAGCUUCGGCGCAUCAUCGACCGAUCCUGAUGUUCUCGGAUGGAUUUGAGUAAGAGCAUACGGGGCCGGACCCGAAAGAAGGUGAACUAUGCCUGUAUAGGGUGAAGCCAGAGGAAACUCUGGUGGAGGCUCGCAGCGGUUCUGACGUGCAAAUCGAUCGUCAAAUAUGGGCAUGGGGGCGAAAGACUAAUCGAACCUUCUAGUAGCUGGUUUCCGCCGAAGUUUCCCUCAGGAUAGCAGUGUUGAACUCAGUUUUAUGAGGUAAAGCGAAUGAUUAGGGACCCGGGGGCGCUUUUUAGCCUUCAUCCAUUCUCAAACUUUAAAUAUGUAAGAAGCCCUUGUUGCUUAAUUGAACGUGGGCAUUCGAAUGUAUCAACACUAGUGGGCCAUUUUUGGUAAGCAGAACUGGCGAUGCGGGAUGAACCGAACGCGAGGUUAAGGUGCCAGAGUAGACGCUCAUCAGACACCACAAAAGGCGUUAGUACAUCUUGACAGCAGGACGGUGGCCAUGGAAGUCGGAAUCCGCUAAGGACUGUGUAACAACUCACCUGCCGAAUGUACUAGCCCUGAAAAUGGAUGGCGCUCAAGCGUCUCACCCAUACCUCGCCCUCAGGGUAGAAACGAUGCCCUGAGGAGUAGGCGGACGUGGAGGUCGUGACG